rnacentral:rRNA from 1 species
UACGUAGGGGGCUAGCGUUGUCCGGAAUCAUUGGGCGUAAAGCGCGCGUAGGCGGCCAGAUAAGUCCGGUGUGAAAGUCACAGGCUCAACCUGUGAAUGCCGCUGGAAACUGUCUGGCUAGAGUCCGGAAGAGGAGAAUGGAAUUCCUGGUGUAGCGGUGAAAUGCGCAGAUAUCAGGAAGAACACCCGUGGCUAAGGCGGUUCUCUAGUACGGUACUGACGCUGAGACGCGAAAGCGUGGGGAGCGAACAGG